AGGACGACCAGCCACACUGGGACUGAGAUACGGCCCAGACUCCUACGGGAGGCAGCAGUGGGGAAUCUUGCGCAAUGGGCGAAAGCCUGACGCAGCGACGCCGCGUGGGGGACGAAGGCCCUCGGGUUGUAAACCCCUUUCGGCAGGGACGAAGCGGUUCCGUGACGGUACCUGCAGAAGAAGCCUCGGCUAACUACGUGCCAGCAGCCGCGGUAAGACGUAGGAGGCGAGCGUUGUCCGGAUUCAUUGGGCGUAAAGAGCACGCAGGCGGUUUGGCAAGUCGGAUGUGAAAACCAGAAGCUCAACUUCUGGCCUGCAUCCGAUACUGCCCGACUAGAGGUAGGUAGGGGAGAUCGGAAUUCCUGGUGUAGCGGUGAAAUGCGCAGAUAUCAGGAGGAACACCGGUGGCGAAGGCGGAUCUCUGGGCCUUACCUGACGCUCAGGUGCGAAAGCUAGGGGAGCGAACAGGAUUAGAUACCCUGGUAGUCCUAGCCGUAAACGUUGGGUGCUAGGUGUGGGCGGACAUCAACC
rnacentral:rRNA from 1 species